ACUCCUCCCAGCUGAGGGGAUUCUCCUGGAGCCUGGCUGCAGGGGCCUGUGCCGGGAGCUGCAGGAUCUGAGCUCUGCCUCUCUCUGAUAGUGCAGCUGGCAGAGGCAUCACGACGCCAUCCACAAGUCCCAGAGAGCAGUGACACACUUGAACUCUCAUCCAUGCUUCUGUGAUAUCCCUCACUAUUCAUAGUGUCACAACUUGACAGUUUGGACAAGAGCAUCCCUGACCUAGAGGCAUCUAACUUCAAAUCCAUUAGUCCAGGGGUCAGCAACCUUUCAGAAGUGGUGUGCCGAGUCUUCAUUUAUUCACUCUAAUUUAAGUGUUGUUGUGGCCAUAUUAGUCCCAGGAUGCUAGGGACAAGAUGGGUGAGGUUAUCUUUUAUUGGACCAACAUCCAUUGGUGAAAGAGACAAGCUUUUGCAAAGAGCCCUUCUUCAGAACAUCAAGUACAGCUGUGAUGUAUACAAACCCCACACUGGACCACCACACCUGCAAGACGUGGACAGCCUGGAGGAGGAGUUAAAAAGGAAGCAGAACAGCUCACUUGUGGGCAGACCAGUGAAGGGGAGAGACUUUGAAGGGACCUGGCCAGAGGGCCAAAUCACCGGAAGACGCAGGCCACUGCAGAGGCAGAAUAGCCAGCAGCAGCAGCCCCAGUGGAGAGCGAGCUGCCACACCAGGCCCGGCCACAAGGAGGCGCCAGCGGUGAGUCAACCCCUUCACAAGCAAAACUCAACCCCCUGAGAAGCAGAACAUCAAGAGUUAAGGUAAUUCAAACUUAAAUAUCUGAAAACCAGGAAAUACAGAGUUAAGGUACAUGCCAACAUACUGGGUAACAGGGACAGGGAGGAAUGUGCAUCUCUAGUAUAGAGCUCUGUUUUUAUUCCAAUACUUGUAUGUAUGCAACUACAUGCUGAAAAUAAUAACUCUAUCUUAGGACCGUCCAGUCACUUGGCUUUCUUUGUACCCCCACUGGCCUUCUCCAGCCUCCUAUGGCACUGUUUAGGGAAGGACAUGGCACUCUGCAACAUUCCUGAGACCUUGUACUUAAGCAGUUACCAGCCUAUUUCUAAUUCUGUGUUCCUAGAGUGCAGUUUCUCCCAAAAGCACCAGUCAGUGACUGUCCCUAAUAAUAUUGAAGAUCCAAUGCAAGUUGGCUUAAAAUGAAAGUACAGACUAUAAAAACAGAGAGAAAGCAUACAAUAAAAGUGGGUUAAAAAAUUAACAUGGCUGGCUGAAUACUAUGAAAACCAUUACCGCUGGGUUCUAAGUUUAGUUGCAAAGUAUUAUUUAAAGCUGCUGACAAUCUUACAUGGCAGAUUAAAGUCUUUCUCCUAGAGGACUACGUCUGUCUGUUCCCUCUUGCCUAUCCACUACAAGUUCUGCUACCUGUCUGACAUGGCCCCAAUUAGAGAUGGGCCUGAACUGAAAUUCCAGAUUCAAACAUCAUUGAACUCUGGUGACAUUUGGAUCCAGUUCGAAAUGUUGCCCGUCAGACCCAUCUCUACUCCAAAAAGUUAGAAGUGUGUGAGUGUGGGAGAGAGCCUGAAUUAGCAACAACCCAAAUCCAUCCUUCCUUUGUAGGCAUUGACUUUCUUUGUAUUCUUCAAAACACAUGGGGCCUGACUCUCCAUUGCCUGGUACCUUGUCAGUGUAAAAUGGUACCAGUUCAGAAUAAUAGUGUUUUACAUCCAUUUUGCACUAAUGUAAACAUCUAUACAAGGUGCAGGACAAUGGAGGCUCAGACCUUCAUAACUGACAAUAGUUCAAACAUCUCAUCAUCUUUCGAAAUCAGACCAGAAAGGUAAAACCUGCUUGAAUCUAGUUUGGGUGACCCCAGUACUGAAUGUAUAGUCAUUACUCCUUUGUUUAAUGGAAUGACCCUCCUUAAACAUGUCUAAUUCACAUUUGGAUAGAUUCCUUACUUAUGAGAUCUGAAGCUUACGGACAAGUACUAUGAGAACAGGCUGUUCAGAAUACAAAGUUACCCAUACGAGUGACAGGUAACUGUCACAUACCUGCCGAAUGUUUGCAUAUCAGCAGUUGGAGUUCACUUUUUUUUAUGCUGGUUGAGCAUGAGGAUUUUGAAGUUUUAAGAGCCUCCCUACCUCUCUACUCGCUGACAGUAACUAAAACUCAGCAGCAGUCUCUGAAAAGUAGUAAAGAUGAUCCAGAACUAAAAAAUGUUAACACAACUCAGAUAUUUCAAAAACUAAACUCAACUGGUAUUUUAAAAUCCGAGUUCAGUGUUCUCUACUCUGUGUAAUAAUCAUUUACAUUUUUAUAAUACCUUUCAGCUGAGAGUUACAAACCAUUUAUUAAUGAAGCCUAACAACUCUUUCUUGUGAGUUAAGCAAGUAUUAGCCCCAUUUUAAUGAUGGGUAAAUUGUGGAACAUAGAGAUCAAAUGACUUGGCCAACAUUACACACUGAGAAACCUAAAGAAAACUCCUGUUUCAAGGACUACUGCUAAGAGUUCGCAACUUAUCCCAGGACAAUGAUUUCAGGGAAAUCUUUGUCUAUUGACAUACAGAAAAAUAAAUUCUAAAUGUUUUAUAAAUGAUUAUUCCUGACGACAAUGCUCAUUCCUAUUACAGAAUCAGAUGGCCUGAAAGUAUAUCAUUUUUUUAAGGUAGCGGGGUGGAGAGAUGACCUUCUCCUCCCUCUCUUCCCCUGUCCUUGACAUCCAUCUUUCUAGCUAGGGAGGGCUGGAGGCUGUAGCCAUAACCUUUUGAACCUGUCAAAAUGUAUUUUUCCACAACUCUACAAGUAUCAAAUGUGUACAUAUUUCUGGGGACCCAGAAGAUCCUGGUCUUGCAAUUGGAUCCACAUAGGCAGACCAUAUUCCCAUAUGGACUCUGGAUAGGCACUGGGGACUGCCUGCAUGGCUCUGAUUCCAGAUAGAGACCUUAGUCAUUAGUUCCAAUCCAGCACUGGUUGGUAGUCACUGAAAAUCGUUACCAUUGGUCACCUAUAUGAUGGUCUCCAUUCCUACCAGACAAGCGUCCGCAUCACAAUUGAUUCCUUGUUUGCGGUCUAGAGAGAGGCCAAAAACUAAAUGAGAUGCGUCAGUAACCUUACGCUGCUGGAACACAGCAGAUAUAUGUUUUUACCCGAUAUCGGGUAUCAGUGGGAUAUGGUCUGUAGAGCUUUGAUGUACAUCAAAGCUAAUUGUGCUACAUUAGAAAAAUGGCUACAUCAGGGAAAUGCAAGAAAUCUUCCUCACAGCUUAGACAAGAAAGCAUGGACAAUAGGACAUGUAUGAAAUGUGUGAAAAUCCAUGUUAGAGCUGAAUGGACUACUCUUAUCAGACAAAAUAAAAGCUCCUUAGAAGGCUAAGGAAAUAGCAAUUAGCAAUAGGAAAUAGCAAUGAGUUUAAAGAAAACAACAACCAUGAAUUUUAGAGGUCAUCAGCAUCCUCCAACACACAUAGUCUACUGAGGACCGCUGCACCAGUCAGAGUGACCAAGGUCACACCAGGUAUCAUGUAGUGAAGUUCCCAGAUCUGGCUCAAUUCUGUGAAUGCACAAAUCUCUGGGAUGGCCCCAGGGGCAGUGCCAGGAAAGAUAAGAGUGGGAUCCCUUCAUGUAUCAGUAGAGAGUUUGAGAGCAUGGUGUGCUGGGGUGUAUUUGUCCCAUCUUGGCGACAUGGCUGAAGAGGGGGCAAUACUGCUUUUAAAUAUAACGAGCAAUUGAAGGAAGGCCAGAUCCCUGCAAGAUAAAGACAUUAGCUGCUGUGUGUUUCACUUAACCACUUUAUCUUCUGUAAAAUGAGGAUAGUAACAAUCAAUUUUAUGAAGUAUGAUGAGUUUUUUAGAUAAGAUGCUAUAUAUGUGUGAAGUAUUUUUAUUAUUAUUAUUUAGCUCAAUGAAAUGAAACCAGAACAAAGUCAGCAGGACAAGACAGAGGGUCAAUAGGAGUUAGUACACUAGGUAGGAGGAGUUUGACUGCAUAGGCAUAUAGUUGGGGUUCAAAUGGGAAACAUUUAAUGGGGGAUUACAUUUUCCUUUCUACGUUCUUCCUAUAUAUUACACAUUGUUUUAUUUUAAGAAGAGAACAGAGCUUUUGUGUUCCCUGUCAAUUAAAUCCCUGGGAUUGAUAUACUAGCUACUUGACGCAGCCCUUUUUGAUUUGCUCUCUGCUAAAAAUGAAAAGAUAGUAAUAACUGGCAAGGGGAAUGUAUGUCUAAAGAGAAAUGUCAAAUUACAGCUCAUAGCUAUUAGAUCAUAGGCUUGGCAAUAGC